rnacentral:rRNA from 1 species
GAUGAACGCUGGCGGCGUGCCUAAUACAUGCAAGUCGAGCGAACAGACGAGGAGCUUGCUCCUCUGACGUUAGCGGCGGACGGGUGAGUAACACGUGGAUAACCUACCUAUAAGACUGGGAUAAUUUCGGGAAACCGGAGCUAAUACCGGAUAAUAUAUUGAACCGCAUGGUUCAAUAGUGAAAGACGGUUUUGCUGUCACUUAUAGAUGGACCCGCGCCGCAUUAGCUAGUUGGUAAGGUAACGGCUUACCAAGGCAACGAUGCGUAGCCGACCUGAGAGGGUGAUCGGCCACACUGGAACUGAGACACGGUCCAGACUCCUACGGGAGGCAGCAGUAGGGAAUCUUCCGCAAUGGGCGAAAGCCUGACGGAGCAACGCCGCGUGAGUGAUGAAGGUCUUCGGAUCGUAAAACUCUGUUAUUAGGGAAGAACAAAUGUGUAAGUAACUAUGCACGUCUUGACGGUACCUAAUCAGAAAGCCACGGCUAACUACGUG